rnacentral:misc_RNA from 1 species
UUUCCGUAGGUGAACCUGCGGAAGGAUCAUUAUUGAAUGAAACACUUCUGGCUUUAUGCUGUUGUGCUGGCCCUUUGGGCAAUGUGCACACGGCUCUGGUCACUUGUUUCUUCUGUUCCACCUGUGCACUGCCUGUAGACACGCUGUGUCUAUGAUAUUUGUUAACACACAACAAUGUUAGUUGGCAUAUUAUAUAUAAUAAUAAAAUAUACAACUUUCAACAACGGAUCUCUUGGCUCUC